AACGUAGGAGACAAACGUUAUCCGGAGUUACUGGGCGUAAAGGGCGUGUAGGUGGUUUUAUAAGUCUGGCGUGAAAUUUCUCGGCUUAACCGAGGCAGGUCGUCGGAUACUAUAAGACUAGAGGACGGUAGAGGCGUGUGGAAUUCCGGGUGUAGUGGUGAAAUGCGUAGAGAUCCGGAGGAACACCAGUGGCGAAGGCGACACGCUGGGCCGUACCUGACACUGAUGCGCGACAGCAUGGGGAGCAAACAGG
rnacentral:rRNA from 1 species